GCGGUGAUGGCGGGCGGGCUGAACGCGAAGGUGGCCUGCAGCAGGAACCUUGAGCGGCGGCUGGCACCGCAGGGCGGGCUCACCCGGGGCAGCAAGCAAAGAUCCAGUCUUUUUUGUCUUGGAGGAAGAUGGCCUUUUGGAUGACAGCUCUUUUUUAGAGCUGCCAUUUCUUGGGACAGAUCUCCAAAUGGAACACGUGCACAGCCUUUCUCUGUGGUUCUGUUUCUUGUCAGUCCCAAUAAAAGUAGAAAGGCAAGACAACCUCUCCAGCCGCUGGGAAGUCAUAACCCCAGUUAUCCUUUGGUAAAAGGUCCCUCCCAGCUUGUUUUUAACCUAUUCCUGGUCUAUUCCAUAGUGGAAGCCAUUACAUGGUUAAAUAAAAACCUGAAAAUA